CCUACGGGAGGCAGCAGUGGGGAAUUUUCCGCAAUGGGCGAAAGCCUGACGGAGCAAUACCGCGUGAGGGAGGAAGGCUCUUGGGUUGUAAACCUCUUUUCUCAGGGAAGAUAAUGACGGUACCUGAGGAAUAAGCAUCGGCUAACUCCGUGCCAGCAGCCGCGGUAAUACGGAGGAUGCAAGCGUUAUCCGGAAUGAUUGGGCGUAAAGCGUCCGCAGGUGGUUUUGAAAGUCUGCUGUUAAAGCGUGCGGCUUAACCGCAUAAGGGCAGUGGAAACUAUGAGACUAGAGUGCGUUAGGGGCAGAGGGAAUUCCCAGUGUAGCGGUGAAAUGCGUAGAGAUUGGGAAGAACACCGGUGGCGAAGGCGCUCUGCUAUACCGUAACUGACACUGAGGGACGAAAGCUAGGGGAGCGAAUGGGAUUAGAUACCCCAGUAGUCCUAGCCGUAAACGAUGGAUACUAGGCGUUGUCUGUAUCGACCCGGACAGUGCCGUAGCUAGCGCGUUAAGUAUCCCGCCUGGGGAGUACGCAGGCAACUGUGAAACUCAAAGGAAUUGACGG
rnacentral:rRNA from 1 species